UAGGGAAUCUUCCGCAAUGGACGAAAGUCUGACGGAGCAACGCCGCGUGAGUGAAGAAGGAUUUCGGUUCGUAAAACUCUGUUGUUAGGGAAGAAAAAAUGUAUAGUAACUAUAUACAAAAGAGACGGUACCUAACCAGAAAGCCACGGCUAACUACGUGCCAGCAGCCGCGGUAAUACGUAGGUGGCAAGCGUUGUCCGGAAUUAUUGGGCGUAAAGCGCGCGCAGGUGGUUUAGAAAGUCUGAUGUGAAGGCCCACGGCUCAACCGUGGAGGGUCAUUGGAAACUAAUAAACUUGAGUGCAGGAGAGAAAAGUGGAAUUCCUAGUGUAGCGGUGAAAUGCGUAGAGAUUAGGAGGAACACCGGUGGCGAAAGCGGCUUUUUGGCCUGCAACUGACACUGAGGCGCGAAAGCGUGGGGAGCAAACAGG
rnacentral:rRNA from 1 species